rnacentral:rRNA from 1 species
UACGUAGGGGGCAAGCGUUGUCCGGAUUUAUUGGGCGUAAAGAGCGUGUAGGCGGCUUUACAGGUCCGUUGUGAAAACUCGAGGCUCAACCUCGAGACGCCGGUGGAAACCGUAAGGCUAGAGUCCGGAAGAGGAGAGUGGAAUUCCUGGUGUAGCGGUGAAAUGCGCAGAUAUCAGGAAGAACACCCGUGGCGAAGGCGGCUCUCUGGGACGGUACUGACGCUGAGACGCGAAAGCAUGGGGAGCGAACAGG